rnacentral:rRNA from 1 species
CCUACGGGUGGCAGCAGUGGGGAAUAUUGCACAAUGGGGGAAACCCUGAUGCAGCGACGCCGCGUGAGUGAAGAAGUACUUCGGUAUGUAAAGCUCUAUCAGCAGGGAAGAAAAUGACGGUACCUGAUGAAGAAGCCACGGCUAACUACGGGCCAGCAGCCGCGGUAUUACGUAGGGGGCAAGCGUUAUCCGGAUUUACUGGGGGGAAAGGGAGCGUAGACGGCAGCACAAGGCUGGAGUGAAAUGCCGGGGCUUAACCCCGGAACUGCUUUGGAAACUGUGCAGCUAGAGUGCAGGAGAGGUAAGUGGAAUGCCUGGUGUAGCGGUGAAAUGCGUAGAUAUUAGGAGGAACACCAGUGGCGAAGGCGGCUUACUGGACUGUAACUGACGUUGAGGCUCGAAAGCGUGGGGAGCAAACAGGAUUAGAUACCCCUGUAGUC